AGAGAGAGAGAGAGAGAGAGAGAGAGAGAGGAGAAAGGAGCCAACAGAAUGAAGCAGAAGUGAUGAGCCUCACUUUGUGGAAGAAACGUUAAGACACUGUGUACAAUUUGAAUGGUGCGAGUCCUCCUGGAUGGCAGUGUAAAUCCAUGUGGGAUUGCGAUGACUGCAAUGAAUAAUAAAGCACAGUGGCUUGAAGCGCGAUGAUGGUAAACAGAGGGUGGCAGUUAGGGUGCUCAGAACAUGCUUCUCUGAGGUCCUGAGAUCUCCCUGGGAAACUGUGACCUGAGAAAGCGAGCUUCGUGAAGGAAUAUUGUGAGCAGAAGGAAGAACA